GAUGAACGCUGGCGGCGUGCUUAACACAUGCAAGUCGAACGGAAAGGCUCCUGCUUGCUGGGGUACUCGAGUGGCGAACGGGUGAGUAACACGUGGGUGAUCUGCCCUGCACUUCGGGAUAAGCCUGGGAAACUGGGUCUAAUACCGGAUAGGACGAUGGUUUGGAUGCCAUUGUGGAAAGUUUUUCGGUGUGGGAUGAGCUCGCGGCCUAUCAGCUUGUUGGUGGGGUAAUGGCCUACCAAGGCGUCGACGGGUAGCCGGCCUGAGAGGGUGUACGGCCACAUUGGGACUGAGAUACGGCCCAGACUCCUACGGGAGGCAGCAGUGGGGAAUAUUGCACAAUGGGCGCAAGCCUGAUGCAGCGACGCCGCGUGGGGGAUGACGGCCUUCGGGUUGUAAACUCCUUUCGCUAGGGACGAAGCGAAAGUGACGGUACCUGGAGAAGAAGCACCGGCUAACUACGUG
rnacentral:rRNA from 1 species